CUGACAUACGUGCGAGUCGACGGGUUCUGAAACCUGGGAUGCGCAAGGAAGCUGACGAGCGGGAGGCCCUCACGGGCCGCACCGCUGGCCGACCCUGAUCUUCUGUGAAGGGUUCGAGUUGGAGCACGCCUGUCGGGACCCGAAAGAUGGUGAACUAUGCCUAAGCGGGGCGAAGCCAGAGGAAACUCUGGUGGAGGCUCGAAGCGAUACUGACGUGCAAAUCGUUCGUCUGACUUGGGUAUAGGGGCGAAAGACUAAUCGAACCAUCUAGUAGCUGG
rnacentral:rRNA from 1 species